UACGUAGGGGGCUAGCGUUGUCCGGAAUCAUUGGGCGUAAAGCGCGUGUAGGCGGCCCGGUAAGUCCGCUGUGAAAGUCGGGGGCUCAACCCUCGAAUGCCGGUGGAUACUGUCGGGCUAGAGUGCGGGAGAGGCGAGUGGAAUUCCUGGUGUAGCGGUGAAAUGCGCAGAUAUCAGGAAGAACACCCGUGGCGAAGGCGGCUCUCUGGGACGGUACUGACGCUGAGACGCGAAAGCGUGGGGAGCGAACAGG
rnacentral:rRNA from 1 species